AUCUAAGUAGGCGGAGGAGGAGAAAAUAACUAAUGAUUCCGUAAGUAGUGGCGAGCGAACGCGGAACAGCCCAAACCAGUAUUGUUACGGCAAUAUCGGGGUUGUAGGACUACAAAGUGGACUUAUAUUUUAUAGCAGAACAGGUUUGGAAAGGCCGACCAUAGGGGGUGAUAGUCCCGUAUGCGACAUAGAAUAUAUACCUAGUAGUAUCCUGAGUACUGCGGGGUCGGAGACGCCCUGUAGGAAACUGCCGGCACCAUCCGGUAAGGCUAAAUACUCCCAAGAGACCGAUAGCGCACAAGUA
rnacentral:rRNA from 1 species